CCGCGUGAGUGAAGAAGGCCCUCGGGUUGUAAAGCUCUUUUGUCCGGAAAGAAAAGCGCCGGGUUAAUACCCUGGUGUCCUGACGGUACCGGAAGAAUAAGCACCGGCUAACUUCGUGCCAGCAGCCGCGGUAAUACGAAGGGUGCAAGCGUUACUCGGAAUUACUGGGCGUAAAGCGUGCGUAGGUGGUUCGUUAAGUCUGAUGUGAAAGCCCUGGGCUCAACCUGGGAAUUGCAUUGGAUACUGGCGGGCUAGAGUGCGGUAGAGGAUAGUGGAAUUCCCGGUGUAGCAGUGAAAUGCGUAGAGAUCGGGAGGAACAUCUGUGGCGAAGGCGACUAUCUGGACCAGCACUGACACUGAGGCACGAAAGCGUGGGGAGCAAACAGGAUUAGAUACCCUGGUAGUCCACGCCCUAAACGAUGCGAACUGGAUGUUGGGUGCAAUUUGGCACUCAGUAUCGAAGCUAACGCGUUAAGUUCGCCGCCUGGGGAGUACGGUCGCAAGACUGAAACUCA
rnacentral:rRNA from 1 species